UGUUGCGGUUAAAAAGCACGUAGUUGGAUUUCUACCGAAGACAGCCGGUCCACACUUAGUGUGCGCAUCUGGUCUGACUUUGGUAUCCUCUUGGGGAACAUCUCUGCCUUUCAUUAGGUGGGGUGGUACUCAAGACUUUUACUUUGGGGAAAUUAGAGUGUUCACGGCAGGCGACCGCCUUGAAUAUAUUAGCAUGGAAUAAUAAUAUAGGACUUCGGUUCUAUUUUGUUGGUUUCUAGGACUGAAGUAAUGAUUAAUAGGGACACUUGGGGGCAUUCGUAUUAUCACGUCAGAGGUGGAAUUCUUGGAUUGUGUUACGACGAACGACUGCGAAAGCAUUUGCCAAGGAUGUUUUCAUUGAUCAAGAACGAAAGUACGGGGAUCGAAGACGCUUAGAUACCGUCGUAGUCUGUACCAUAAACUAUGCCAACUAGGGAUUAGGCGUCGUUCUUUUUCGACUCGCUUAGCACCUUAUGAGAAAUCAAAGUCUUUGGGUUCCGGGGGGAGUACGGUCGCAAGUCUGAAACUUAAAGGAAUUGACGGAAGGGCACCACCAGGAGUGGAGCCUGCGGCUUAAUUUGACUC
rnacentral:rRNA from 1 species